UUUAAGCUUUAGGUUUGGAGGAUUUUGCAUGGUGCAUAACACGGGAAAACAACAUUAUAAGAUAAGUCCUUCCAAAAAAAAAUUAUUAAGAUAAGUGAUGAUAAAAGAGAAGAUGUUCCAAAAAAGGAAUAAACAUUACGCCAACCUCCUUCCCGCUCCAUCUUCUUGCACCACAUGUUUAGCAUUAGAUAUUUAAUAAUUUUUGUGCAAUAAGCUUC
rnacentral:lncRNA from 1 species